CCUAGGGGAGGCAGCAGUGGGGAAUUUUGGACAAUGGGGGCAACCCUGAUCCAGCAAUGCCGCGUGAGUGAAGAAGGCCUUCGGGUUGUAAAGCUCUUUUGUCAGGGAAGAAACAGCAGCUCUAACACAGUCUGCGAAUGACGGUACCUGAAGAAUAAGCACCGGCUAACUACGUGCCAGCAGCCGCGG
rnacentral:rRNA from 1 species